rnacentral:rRNA from 1 species
GAUGAACGCUGGCGGCAUGCCUAACACAUGCAAGUCGGACGGGAAGUGGUGUUUCCAGUGCCGUUCGGGUGAGUAACGCGUAAGAACCUGCCCUUGGGAGGGGAACAACAGCUGGAAACGGCUGCAAAUACCCCGUAGGCUGAGGAGCAAAAGGAAGAAUCCGCCUGAGGAGGGGCUGGCGUCUGAUUAGCUAGGUGGUGAGGCAAUAGCUUACCAAGGCGAUGAUCUGUAGCGGGUGCGAGAGGAUGAUCAGCCAGACUGGGACUGAGGCACGGCCAAGGCACCUUCGGGAGGCAGCAGUAGGGAAUUUGCAGCAAUGGGCGAAAGCGUAACAGGGCAAUGGCGCGUGGAAGUAGAAGGGCUGAGAGUCGUGAGCUUCAUUUCCCGGAGAAGAAGCAAUGACGGUAUCUGGGGAAUAAGCAUCGGCUAACUCUGUG